CUUAGCAUGACUGAAUAUAUUAAUAUGAUAGACAAAGUGGAUAGGGGGGUGAUCGCUGUCGCUGGCCUUUCAUUAGGCAUGUGCACGCUUUUCUCCUCUGGAAACUUGGUCGUGGAGCGCGGGGCGACUCGCGUUCCGUCGUAUGCCCACAUGUGUAGAAAGUCUUUGAAUGUUUUUACCAUCAUCGAGUCGUGACUUCUAGGAGACAUGAUUCUUUGAGACAAAAGUUAAUUACAACUUUCAGCAAUGGAUCUCUUGGUUCUCGCAUCGAUGAAGAACGCAGCGAAUAGCGAUAUGUAAUGUGAAUUGCAGAUCUACAGUGAAUCAUCGAAUUUUUGAACGCACCUUGCGCUUCUCGGUGUUCCGAGAAGCAUGCCUGUUUGAGCGUCGUUUAAUUCUCAACCCCCCUUUGAUUAGCCUCGAAUGGGGUGUUUGGAUGGUGGGGGCUGCCGGAAGACUUCAUUGGAAUUCGGCUCUCCUUAAAUGCAUCGGCUUGCACAGACCUUUGACUUUGCGCGACAAGGCUUUCGGCGUGAUAAUGAUCGUCGUUUGCUGAAGCGCAUGAAUGAAGGUCGAGCGCCUCUAAUACGUCGACCCCCCUCCAAGGGUCUUCCUAAUUUUAAGCGCGACCUCAAAUCAGGUAGGACUACCCGCUGAACUUAAGCAUAUCAAUAAGCGGAGGAA
rnacentral:rRNA from 1 species